GACGAACGCUGGCGGCGUGCUUAACACAUGCAAGUCGAGCGGUAAGGCCCUUUCGGGGGUACACGAGCGGCGAACGGGUGAGUAACACGUGGGUGACCUGCCUUUAGCUCUGGGAUAAGCCUGGGAAACCGGGUCUAAUACCGGAUAUGACUCCGCGGCGCAUGUUGUGGGGUGGAAAGCCUUGUGCGGCUGGAGAUGGGCCCGCGGCCUAUCAGCUUGUUGGUGGGGUGAUGGCCUACCAAGGCGACGACGGGUAGCCGGCCUGAGAGGGCGACCGGCCACACUGGGACUGAGACACGGCCCAGACUCCUACGGGAGGCAGCAGUGGGGAAUCUUGCGCAAUGGGCGAAAGCCUGACGCAGCGACGCCGCGUGAGGGAUGACGGCCUGGUUGUAA
rnacentral:rRNA from 1 species